UUAGCCAAACAAAUAUUAAAGGCAACGCCUGCCCAGUGAACAAUUAAACGGCCGCGGUACCCUAACCGUGCAAAGGUAGCGUAAUCACUUGUCUAUUAAUUGUAGACCAGCAUGAAUGGCAAAAUGAGGGCCUGUCUGUCUCUUACAAUAAAUCAAUUAAACUGAUCUCCUAGUAAAAAAGCUAGAAUUCACACACAAGACCAGAAGACCCUGUGAAGCUUAAACCAAACUAUUAAACCUUAUAAUACCUACUUUCGGUUGGGGCGACCUUGGAAAAAAAAAGAACUUCCAAAUAUAUGACCAUACUCACACACAGGCUCACAAGCCAUAAUAGACCCAGCACAGCUGAUAAUUGAACCAAGUUACUCCAGGGAUAACAGCGCCAUCUUCUUCAAGAGUCCAUAUCAAAAAGAAGGUUUACGACCUCGAUGUUGGAUCAGGACAUCCUAAUGGUGCAACCGCUAUUAAGGGUUCGUUUGUUCAACGAUUAAUAGUCCUACGUGAUCUG
rnacentral:rRNA from 1 species